GCCAGGCAUGGUGGCGCAUGCCUAUAGUCCCAGCAACUUGGGAGGCUGAGCUGGGAGGAUCACUUGAGCCCAGGAGUUCUGGGUGCAGUGAGCUAUGAUCACACCACUGCACUCCAGUUUGGGCAACAGAGUGAGACCCUGUCACUA
rnacentral:SRP_RNA from 1 species